GGGGACUGUAAAUCCCC
rnacentral:misc_RNA from 2 species